GCCAGCUAGCUCCUUCCUCCUCAGCACAGCCAACUGACUCCAACCCUCUCCCAACUUGCUAGCCCACCCUUUUAUAACACUCAGCCCCACUGGAUAUACCUGUGGCCUAUUAAGGGCAGGCCUGUUCCUAAUUCUUGGUAAUUAGUACAUCUGCAGCUCCCCAGGGGUGAGAUUGCCUUUAGCACUAUCUAUUAUUAUUCUAUAAUCCAUUCUCCCAGUGCUGGGCGCCUGUAGCAGGACCAGGGUCUGCAAGGCCUCCUUGGAGGCCAGAAGCCUGAGCAAGCUAAAGAGCUGAAAUCUCAAAGAGCUGAUAAUCAUUGAGAGCUGAAAUCACUAUAGCUUGCUUAAGGUUGCCUGCGGCUGGGAGCUGCUUGGUAAUUCAGACGCUGUGCUGAGAGCCUCCCUGAACUAUCCUGGCCAAGGCACCCACCGGGCAUAGCCCGUGUGGAAACCACCCCAAUAGGUGCCUACACUGGACAGAUUUCUUGCAAGGUGGCCAAGAUUCAUAAUUCCAGAUACGUGAUUCCUGUGAGUCUGUGGUCUUUGACAAACUACAUAUGAUCUUGAGAGUCUUUGAAGCUCUGUAAUAGUCAGAGCACAAUUUGUAGCUGUUCUGCCAGCCAUCAAGUACUUUCCCACAGAGAUGCUAGAAGGCCUGGCUUACAUAUUCCUGUGCUACACAUGGAGUGGGCAACGAUGUCCUGCACUUGGCAAACCCAACAGAUGAGAGGUCUGUCUCAUCAAGGUCAAAGCCCUUGCAGAGUCCCACUGUUCAGCCAGUUCCCCAGAGGUGUCUCUAGAUGAACAUUUGGAUAAGUUCUGUAGCUUAGAAAAAAACAGAGCCAGCUUUUGAACCCCCGAGAUUUUCUCAUAAGUGCAAACAACGUGUUAAUACUGCUUAUAUGUGAAGAGUUUCUACAGAAACUAUUUUCAAUCUUUAAUGCUGCUACACAACAAAUAAACAGAACAUGAUACUGCACACAGUGUUGCUACAUAUCCUUUUAAAUUUCUUCAUGAUUGCCGAUUAUUUCUGUAGUGUUAUAUAACUAGCAUUACAAGUCUGGAACCCUAUGAUUCUGUAACAGC